AUGUUCUCUGUAGCUCUGCUGCUGCUGCUGGUUUCUGGAUCCUGUGUGAAGUGUGAACAGCUGACACAGCCAGCCUCUGUGACUGUGCAGCCAGGUCAAAGUCUGACCAUCAGCUGUCAGGUCUCUUAUUCUCUGAGCAGCUACUACACAGCUUGGAUCAGACAGCCUGCAGGAAAAGGACUGGAGUGGAUUGGGGUGAAACGUGGUGAUGGAUCAUCAUACUACAAAGAUUCACUGAAGAACAAAUUCAGUAUAGAUGUAGUCACUUCCAGUAAAACGGUGACUCUGAAUGGACAGAAUAUGCAGCCUGAAGACUCUGCUGUGUAUUACUGUGCGAGACAGCCACAGUGA